CUUUUUAAUCGUACAUACAAUGUUUCUACACUUGUACGGUAUUUUAUAUAAAAUGGGGGUGGGGUUCACUAACGUUUUUGGUCUUUUCUUGAGAGGGGGGGGGGGGGUCAGGCGAGUUUUGCUGUUGCCGGAAGGGGGUCAUACAGAUAUGCCUCCCCCCCAAAAAAAAACCAACAUAAAUAUUGAACACUCCCUGAAAAUGCAAUUUGCAGCGGCGCCAGAUUGUUUUGGUCGUGUUUCCACAUUUAGUAUGCAUGACGUCAUAACGUUCAAUAUGAUUUUUCAUAUUCAGCGUUAUUGCGUCACUCCGUUGAAUAUCAUUUUUUCAUAUGCAACGUUCUGGUGUCACUCCAUUGAAUAUAUUAUGUAAAAACUCCAUAUUUCAUCGGCUAUUGCGUACAUAUGGAACAUUUCACGUUGGCUGUUAGUCAAUCAGAAACCAUGAAUUUUUUAAAUAAAUAAUAAAAUUCACUCCACCAAUAGACCUUUCCCCUUAUAACCAAAAUUUUGAUCUAGGCAAGUCUAGACAAAUAUUUCAUCACAGCUUGAAAGAGCGUCACAAAAUUAGUAAUAUUCCAAAGUUUCGUUGCGAAAUGUUGUAAAAUGCGGAUAAUAUAGCCUUGCGAAAUUUGCUAUUUUCAGUCAUUUUAGAUUACAAACGGGAAAUUGCAGCCCCAACACCCGAAUCGUAUGUCAAUUUCCCGUUUGUAAUACAAAAUGACUGAAAAACGGCAAACUUCGCAAGGCUAUAUUAUCUGCAUUUUGCAAG